UGACAAGGAUCCAAGCUGAAUUACAAGAGACAGUAAAAGAUUUAGCUAAAGGCAAAAAGAAAUAUUUUGAGACUGAACAGAUGGCUCAAGCAGUGCGGGAGAAAGCUGAUAUCGAGGCCAAGUCCAAACUUAGUCUUUUUCAGUCAAGAAUAAGCUUGCAGAAGGCAAGUGUAAAGUUAAAAGCACGACGAUCCGAGUGUAACUCCAAGGCUAUCCACGCCAGGAAUGAUUAUCUCCUCACUUUAGCAGCUGCUAACGCACACCAAGAUCGCUACUAUCAAACAGACUUAGUAAACAUUAUGAAGG